rnacentral:rRNA from 1 species
CACGUAGGGUGCGAGCGUUGUCCGGAAUUAUUGGGCGUAAAGAGCUCGUAGGCGGUGUGUCGCGUCGGCCGUGAAAACCUGCAGCUUAACUGUGGGCGUGCGGUCGAUACGGGCAUGACUGGAGUUCGGCAGGGGAGACUGGAAUUCCUGGUGUAGCGGUGAAAUGCGCAGAUAUCAGGAGGAACACCGGUGGCGAAGGCGGGUCUCUGGGCCGAUACUGACGCUGAGGAGCGAAAGCGUGGGGAGCGAACAGG